CUCUUCCCCAGAACUGGGAGACACCCUUCCUGCUCUAACUGUGCCAUGGCUGUCAUGCUCUUCUAUUACGUGGCCCUUUACCUUCUGGGUGCAGGUCUCGUGGAUGCUAGUGUCUCCCAGACCCCAAGACACUAUGUUUCAGGAACAGGAAAGAAGAUUACUCUGGAAUGUUCUCAAACUAUGGGCCAUGAGAACAUGUACUGGUAUCGUCAAGACCCAGGAAAGGCACUACAGCUGAUCCAUUAUUCAUAUGGUAUUAAUACCACGGAGGAAGUAGAGGCCUCCUCUGGAUCAACCGUCUCUAGAAUAAGGAAGGAGCAUUUUCCCCUAACACUAGAGUCCACCAGCCCCUCACAGACAUCUCUGUACUUCUGUGCCAGCAGUGAAUCCACAGUGCUACACAGGCACCUACAGCCUGCAUAA